CCUAUCUAUAUGUGUCCCCCUUG
rnacentral:sRNA from 1 species